rnacentral:sRNA from 1 species
AUGGAGUUGCAAGCACUUGUGAGGCACCUGACGUGAGAACUAGGAAUUGAACUCAGGACUUCUGGAGGAGCAGGAAAUAUUCUUAACCACUGAGAUGGCUUUUUCUGAUAUCGUUACGCACGACAGAGAAGCAGGAAAGAAAUGCCUUGUUUCUGUGAAGCAAAGAUCAGAGUCCAGGUUCCCUUGCUGGCCUCCAUUGACAUCUGGGGAAGACACUCAGACUGCAAAAGGGAGGUGAUGUUUACAAUUCAUGGAGGGAUUUGAAGAGUGAAAUAAAUUGUGGAUGGAGAGUGGGGACUGGAAUAGCUUAAGCGU